GCUGUUCAGAUAGCCAUGCACGUCUAAGUACAAACUAAAUGAUGGUGAAACUGCAAAUGGCUCAUUACAACGGUUAUGAUGUACCCGGGAGUUCCGAUGGAUAUUUCCAGUAACACUAGAACUAAUACAUGUCCCUGCGUUUAUUAGUUUCGCACAGUCCGUCGCUGAGUCAUGGUAAACAGUUGAUCGACUCGACGUCCCGGAACAGUUUCCGCCCCAUCAGCUUCGAUGGUUGGGUAUUGGCCUACCAUUGCAACAACGGGUAACGAGGAAUUAGGGUUUGAUUUCGGAGAGGGAGCCUGAGAAACGGCUACCACAUCUACGGAUGGCAGCAGGCGCGCAAAUUACCCAAUGCAGACACUGUGAGGUAGUGACGAGAAAUAAUAAAGCGGGACUUCUGUUUCGCUAUUAUAAUGAGGAAUAACCAAAGGUCAUUCCGAUUAGCAACUGAUGGGAAAGUCUGGUGCCAGCAGCCGCGGUAAUACCAGCGUCAGUAGCAU
rnacentral:rRNA from 1 species